GCCUCCUUAGCUUAGUGGUAGAGCGUCAGUCUUGUAAACUGAAGGUCGUGGGUUCAAUUCCCAUAGGUGGCU
rfam:Eimeria praecox, Houghton, WGS project CBTT01000000 data, contig: Eph_contig3760_2